UACAGAGGGUGCGAGCGUUGUCCGGAAUCACUGGGCGUAAAGGGCGCGUAGGUGGCGCCCCAAGUCUGUGGUGAAAGCUCGAUGCUCAACAUCGAGUCGGCCACGGAAACUGGGGGGCUGGAGCACUGUAGAGGCUAAUGGAAUUCCGGGUGUAGCGGUGGAAUGCGUAGAGAUCCGGAAGAACACCGGUGGCGAAGGCGGUUAGCUGGGCCGUAACUGACGCUGAGGAGCGAAAGCGUGGGGAGCGAACAGG
rnacentral:rRNA from 1 species